GAUGAACGCUGGCGGCGUGCUUAACACAUGCAAGUCGAACGGUGAAGGCGGAGCUUGCUCUGCUGGAUCAGUGGCGAACGGGUGAGUAACACGUGAGCAAUCUGCCCCUGACUCUGGGAUAAGCUCUGGAAACGGCGUCUAAUACCGGAUACGAGCUGCGAAGGCAUCUUCAGCAGCGGGAAAUAACUGCGGUCAGGGAUGAGCUCGCGGCCUAUCAGCUUGUUGGUGAGGUAACGGCUCACCAAGGCGUCGACGGGUAGCCGGCCUGAGAGGGUGACCGGCCACACUGGGACUGAGAUACGGCCCAGACUCCUACGGGAGGCAGCAGUGGGGAAUAUUGCACAAUGGGCGAAAGCCUGAUGCAGCAACGCCGCGUGAGGGACGACGGCCUUCGGGUUGUAAACCUCUUUUGGCAGGGAAGAAGCGAAAGUGACGGUACCUGCAGAAAAAGCGCCGGCUAACUACGUG
rnacentral:rRNA from 1 species